CCUACGUGUGGCAGCAGUGGGGGAUAUUGGACAAUGGAGGAAACCCUGAUCCAGCGACGCCGCGUGAGUGAAGAAGUAUUUCGGUAUGUAAAGCUCUAUCAGCAGGGAAGAAAGAAAUGACGGUACCUUAGUAAUAAGCCCCGGCUAACUACGUGCCAGCAGCCGUGGUAAUACGUAGGGGGCAAGCGUUAUCCGGAUUUAUUGGGUGUAAAGGGAGCGUAGACGGGGAUGCAAGUCUGGAGUGAAAGGCCGGGGCCCAACCCCCGAACUGCUCUGGAAACUGUGUAACUGGAGUGCAGGAGAGGAAGGCGGAAUUCCUAGUGUAGCGGUGAAAUGCGUAGAUAUUAGGAGGAACACCAGUGGCGAAGGCGGCCUGCUGGACUGUAACUGACGUUGAGGCUCGAAAGCGUGGGGAGCAAACAGGAUUAGAUACCCCAGUAGUC
rnacentral:rRNA from 1 species